AGUUUCCAGUGGCCAGGGGUACGCGCGGCCGGAGGGGCGCCGGGGCCGUACUCACCGCGGCCGUUCUGGUUGGGCCGGUACACGCUGCCCACGCUGAGGCGGCCCUGCUGCGCGCCGUUCCGCUCCCCACCCGGCGGGGGCGUGUCGGAGCUGCGCACCGGCAGGAGCUCCUGCCUGCCUGGAUGAAGAGGAGGUCAAGACUUUGUCCCCCACUCCCCAAGAUACCCUCUCUGUUCCGGAUCGGUGGGUCCCUCCCCUGUUAGGACCUUGUCUCCCUCAGGACUGGACCUGGAUCCUGGGCCUGCAGUCAGAUUGCCAGUUUCACUUAGAGGUGGAAAUGUCAACCCACUGGUUGGAAUGGGAAGAUGAGACGGGAUUUCACCAUGUUAGCCAGGAUGGUCUUGAUCUCCUGACCUCAUGAUCUGCCCACCUCGGCCUCCCAAAGUGCUGGGCUUACAGGCGUGAGCCACCGUGCCCGGCCAAAAAUAACUUUUAAAAACAUGAGUAUAGCAUACACACACACAAAAGUCCACAAAUCCUAAGUGUACCACUUGAUGAAUGAUCCCAACAUGAGCACACCUCUGGAUU
rnacentral:antisense_RNA from 1 species